rnacentral:snoRNA from 1 species
GUCCCAUGAUGAGGACAGCCUUCAAUGUAAUUCUGUAAUCUUUCCCAUGCUUCAGUGAAUGAUUCAUCAUGUUGUUAUUGGAAACUUACAAUCUUCCCACACAGAGC